rnacentral:rRNA from 1 species
AAAUUGAAGAGUUUGAUCAUGGCUCAGAUUGAACGCUGGCGGCAGGCCUAACACAUGCAAGUCGAACGGUAACAGGAAGCGCUUGCUGCUUCGCUGACGAGUGGCGGACGGGUGAGUAAUGUCUGGGAAACUGCCUGAUGGAGGGGGAUAACUACUGGAAACGGUAG